UCAAAUUUAAAAUCUGGCAGUCUUUGGCUGUCCGAGUUGUAAUCUGGAGAAGCGUCUUCCGCGCUGGACCGUGUACAAGUCUCCUGGAACGGAGCGUCAUAGAGGGUGAGAAUCCCGUCUUUGACACGGACUACCAGUGCUUUGUGAUGCGCUCUCAAAGAGUCGAGUUGUUUGGGAAUGCAGCUCAAAAUGGGUGGUAAACUCCAUCUAAAGCUAAAUAUUGGCGAGAGACCGAUAGCGAACAAGUACCGUGAGGGAAAGAUGAAAAGCACUUUGGAAAGAGAGUUAAACAGUACGUGAAAUUGCUGAAAGGGAAACGCUUGAAGUCAGUCGCGUUUGCUAGGACUCAGCCAAGCCUCGGCUUGGUGCAUUUCCUAGUAGACGGGCCAGCAUCACUUUUGGCUGCGGGAAAAAGGUCAGAGGAAUGUGGCACCUUCGGGUGUGUUAUAGCCUCUGGCUGUAUACCGUGGCUGGGAGUGAGGAUCUCAGCACGCCUUCAUGGCGGGGCUUCGGCCACCUUCGUGCUUAGGAUGCUGGCGUAAUGGCUUUAAACGACCC
rnacentral:rRNA from 1 species